rnacentral:ncRNA from 1 species
AUCAAUCGAUAAGAUGUGCACCAAAGGUGGCUUGAAAAGAGUCUACCUAGUAGAUGAGGGAUUGUUCCUCUUAUCUGCGACACCGUCAAAUUGCCGGGAAAUCUCGUCAAGCCCUUGAUACCACCCUGUCUGGGAAACCGAGGCAGUGGAACCGCGUCGAAAGUCGUGGGCAUGGUAAAAAUUUAAGGGAUAGAGACAAUCGGCAGCCAAGCCCUAAGGGUCACUCCGGUGUCCUAUGGGUGCAGUUCACAGACUAAAUGUCGGUGGGUCCAGCUCGUGCUGGGCUUAAGAUAUAGUCGGCCCGCCCCGAGAGGGGAUCCUAUGAGAGGACUUGCCUUGGGCAAUGAGAGCUCGU